GAAGACGCCAAGAUGGCGACGAGUCAGUAUUUCGACUUCGCGCAGGGCGGCGGCCCGCAGUACAGCGCCCAGCCUCCGACCCUUCCCCUGCCCACUGUGGGGGCCAGCUAUACUGCACAACCCACUCCUGGGAUGGACCCUGCCGUGAACCCGGCCUUUCCCGCAGCUGCCCCGGCAGGGUACGGUGGAUACCAGCCCCACUCCGGCCAGGACUUCGCCUACGGCAGCCGACCCCAGGAGACCGUCCCCACGGCCACCACCAUGGCUACCUACCAGGACAGUUACAGCUACGGACAGUCAGCAGCUGCCAGGAGCUAUGAGGACAGGCCGUACUUCCAGUCUGCUGCCCUCCAGUCUGGGCGCAUGACAGCCGCAGACUCCAGCCAGCCAGGUGAGCCAUCUGCAGGGUCGGGGCUGGGAACGAGGAGACGCUCCCCGCAGCACAGGGAAACCUUGGGAAACUUACUUUUUUUUUUUUUUAGACAGAGUCUCGCUCUGUUGCCCAGGCUGGAGU
rnacentral:sRNA from 1 species